UAUCCUUGACAAUAGUCUGGUUCAUGGAAACAUGAUGAAAAGGGAACGCAGGAACGGGCAUACCACCUUUAAUCUGCGACUGUCCUCGCAACUGUGACUAGCGAGUGUUGUUAUAUUGCGCCACUGUCAGCACCAUGACGGGAAGGCAUAACACCACGCAGAGCUAGAAGUCAGGAGACCUGCCAGACCAGCACCUAGUCG
rnacentral:ncRNA from 2 species